AAUAAGUUCAGUUUUGCACUGUUCAUCUCAAACGUUUGACCGUUUUUCUUAUUUGAAAUUUUUUUAUUAGUAGUAUUUUUGUUGUCAUAAGAUGAUAAAAUAUGAAUAGUAUUUAUGUGUGACUAAUUUCAUUUAUUUAUUUCAAAAAUUAUUCAAAUAAGACGGACGGUUAAAUGUUGAACACGGAUAUUCAUGGCUGCGCUUAUU
rfam:Oryza glumipatula chromosome 12, whole genome shotgun sequence.